AUGACAUCCUAUUUGAUCUGCUAUCAGGAAUCAGAGAGGCAUUUGUUAACCACUACUAUUACUAUACCCCGAUCUCGAUUGUCAUCGCUCCAAGAUAUGUUUUGCCUGGUUCUUCGUCCAGAAGGCGAAGUUGUUGUCAUUGAGGGCAUUGGUGGCUUGGCAAAGACAUGGGUGGCAAAAGGUGCAUUUGAAACAGCAAGGAACUCAAAUCGCUUUGAUAACUAUAUUUGGGUAUCAUUGUCUAGAGGUUGUAGUCUGCGACGGUGCAUCGAGAAGAUUGCAACAUGUCUUUUAAUUGACAUCGGAGAGGAACUGUUAUCAUCCAGAAUUAGUGUAAUGAUCAAGGAACAUCUCGCGAGACGGAAGUUUUUGUUGGUUCUUGAUAAUGCUUAUUUUGUCGAGGAAAACAUCUUAAUGAACUUGGGGAUUCCUCAUCCUCGAGAGCAGAGUUUGGGUUCAAAGGUCAUUGUGACCACAAGAACCAGGAGGGUACUGUCAGUCAUGGAGCCAGAUAUAAUUAUAUCGCCACAGCCUCUUACAGAUCAGGCCUCAUGUGACCUACUGUGCGAGAAGAUUGGCAAAGAUAUUCGUCUAGACUUAAGUAAUUGUUGCUUUGGCAUACCAUUAUCAGUUAUCUUACUGGCUGGGGCACUGUGUGAUGUGCCUACACAAGAGGAAUUCAGCAAGCUAAUCAGUGAAGUUCAUGUGGCCUCGGCGAAUCGCCUUGUAAAUUUUGGUUACAGCCAGCUUCCUAGUGAUACUGCUAGGCACUGUUCCCUAUACUGUUUACUCUUCCCUGACGAUGAAGCAAUUUCUGUCAAAGACUUAAUAUUCUUCUGGAAGCUGGAGGGUAUCACUGAUGAGGCUAACUGUACUGGUAGGGAAAUUCUCCAUGUGCUUUUAAAGCAUGGGUUGAUUCAUUUUGAGGGUGAUGAUCAUAUCCGCAUGCAUGAUGUCAUUAGAGAGACGUUAUCUCAACUUGGACGGGACAAUGGCUAUGUGGAACAGCCUCAAUGGGACUUUGACGAUUACAUUCAAUUUGAGCAUCUAGCCAAGUUGGGCGGCAAAAUUUCCUUAAUGAACACAAAAAUGGAAGUACUCCAUGGAAGUCCAAGUGCCGAGUGCUUUUCAACUUCGACGCUACUUUUGAGAGGAAACCGCCAUAUGAGAACUAUAUCGGAAGAAUUUUUUUGUUGUGUGCAAAUGCUUAGAGUGCUAGACCUAUCGUUUACUCGAAUCAUCAUCCUGCCCCAAUCCAUUUCUAGUUUGUUUUACCUCCGGUCGCUGCUACUAGUUGGAUGCGGACACUUGGAGAAAAUUCAGCACAUAAGCUCACUGGAGAUGCUUGAAAUACUUGAUGCAUCAAGUUGUGGUUCCCUAAAAAGGGUAGAGUGUGGAUCAUUUGAUCGUAUGAGGGUGCUCAAGAUUCUUGACCUUUCCCGGACUUCUAUUGCAUGCUUGCCAUCUCUAGCUGCGUGCGUCGGACUUCAACAACUCAUACUACACGAUUGCCCAUGUCUUGAAUCUCAGCAAACUACAGAAACAAAUGACAAGUCCUGCAAUGCAAUUUUUGUUAAGUUCCCUUAUGGAGUUUCAAAAACAGGUGCAGUAAGGAACGUACAAAUAGGGGCAAGUAUGGAGGAUCUAGUGGGUUGGAUUUGGUUGCCUGGCGGGCUGGCUUUUGAGUUGUCUGACAGAUUUGUCAUGAAGGUCUCUGAAGAUGUAGAUCAGAACGGCAAAACGUACAUACAUGCAAGUCAGGCCAAUUUCUUUCGGUCUUUGGAUAAAGAAUCUCCACUAUGGUUAACCUGCUUCCAAAAGUUUCACAUAGUUAUCUCCUCUUCAAAGUUUGAUCAAACCAUGCACAAGGGCUUGAGAGCAGUGAGGACAAAAUUCUCUUCUGUGGACGCGCAUUCCGGUGAUUUCGAUCGGUAUCUGGAGAUGAACUGUGUCAGCAUUCCUAAUGGUAUUGAGGAGAUUCUUGGUCAUGCUGAGCUGAUAUCAUCAAGAAGCGUAACAACAACAGAUCAAGUGUGGAAUCUGAAUAUUGGAAGACUGGCAGCAGCAGGAGAACUUUGGAUAGAGGAAUGUCGCCAGCUGGAGAAUCUUUUCUCCCGGGAAGAAGUGGAUGAAUUGUCUAGAAUAGGAAAAUUGCAGAAUAUAUUUAUCUCCAACAUGGACAAUUUAGCAUACUUCUGCCAACGGGUGGAAGAUGCGACGAGUUUCAGUUGUCUGGCGCAGUUGCUCCUCGAUUGCUGUCCAAGACUGAACUUCCUCUUCCCUUCGUCGCUACGCCUGCCGAAGCUUCGCAGUCUACAUAUAAGGUUCUGUGAUAGCCUGGAGAGGGUUUUCGACGAAUCAGUCGCGGCAGAAAUUGCUCUUCCAGGGUUACAGUCACUGCAGCUGUGGGAGCUUCCGGAGCUUAGCUGCGUGUGUGGAGGAGUCUUGCCAUCUCUCAAGGACCUGAAGGUGAGAGGCUGUGGAAAGCUGAAAAGGAUUCCUAUCGGUGUGACUGAAAAUAGCACAUUCAUUAUUACAACAGUAAUGGGAGAGACGCAUUGGUGGGACGAUUUGGUCUAG
rnacentral:rRNA from 1 species